UUUUUUUUUUUUUCAUGAUAGCUAUCCUAAUGGGUGUGAGGUAGUACCUCAUUGUGGUUUUGAUUUGGCUUUUCUUAAUGAUUAAUGAUGUCCAGCAAUUUUCCUGUGCUUAUUUAUCUAUUUCUUUUUACAUUUUAAUCUUUUCUUCUUUUUUUAGCCAUGCCUGCGGCUUGUGGAAGUUCCUGGGCCAGGGAUCGGACCUGUGCCACAGUGGUUAUCCAGGCCUCUGCAGUGACAAUGCCAGAUUCUUAUCCCACUGCACCACAAGAGAACUCCCUCUUUUUGUAUUUUGAAAUAAGACCACUAUGAAACUGAAAAUUACCUAAGCAGCUCCUAUUGUACUACUCUUGCAUAGCACUAUUUCAGACACUUGAAAACAGAAUGUGGGUAUGAGCAGAUGAGCAGUGAGGAUUCAUUGAUGUUUUCAGAUGUGCUGCAAAUGUGUCAGACCUCCACCUGCAGGAGACAGGGAGACAUCUGCCCAGGUCCACAUUUGUAGAAUAGAUGUCAAGCUAACAGGUGGAGGGCUCCAGCCUGAGGAGAGACAGCUCUGCAGGGAAGAUAGUGGACAUUCAUUAAACCAUUAUUCCCAGUGAGGAAAAACACAUGCUCACAUUUUUGUAAUUCCUCCUCUUCUCCUUCUUCUACCUUUUUGCCUUUUAGGGCCACACAUGCAGCAUAUGGGGUCCCAAGCUAGGGGUCCAAUCAGAGAUGUAGCUGCCAGCCUACACCAUACCCACAGCAACUCAGUAUCUGAGCCAUGACUGCGACCUACACCACACUCACGGGAAAGCCACUAAGCAAGGCCAGGGAUCGAACCUGCAUCCUCAUGGAUACUAGUUGGAUUUGUUUCUGCUGUGUCAUAUUGGGAACACCUGCAAUUCUUCUUCAAAACACUUUAUAGUCCAGAGUGAGGAUAUUCCCAGAGAAAUGAGAUGUUGGCAGAAGAGUUGCUGCAUUCCCAUCAAUGGGGAUUUCCUCCGGAAAACAACCUGCUGCUUUCUGUCCAGUAGGUGGAGUCCCCCAGGACUGGAGGUGGUACAGGAGGGUUUGGGAAUUUGCAUUCAUCCCUACACUGGUCCUCUGUUGCCCCCUGAGGCUUAGCCAGGUCUGCAGCUGCUGAGAGCCCUCCUGGGGUGGGGGUGCUGGGGAGAAUGUUGGAGGUCAGCUCCCAGCACUCAGGGCAUGAGAAAGACAACCCAAGAGCAUGUGAAUGAGCAGAGCCCCUCUCCCUCACUUGGGUCUCUAGGAAGAGGCUGGGGUAGUCUGGGGCCUCUUGGCAGCUACAUUGUGGGCUGUGGGAGUCAUAAUGGCUGAGGAGGUGGGGCUCCAUGGCCACAGGGUCUAGGUCAUGCUUCACAGAUGCCAAAGUAGUCUGCCUCCUGGGGGGAAAGAGACUGGGAGGGAGGGAGGCACUGAGGGGAGACUGGAGGGGGCAACUUGGGAGGGAAUGAUUCCUAUUCAAGAACAGCAUAGCAGGUAGCCCCUGAUAUCUGUGUGGGAGCUGCUCUGAACCAUGUCCUGGGCCAUAGAGGUGACAUUUAUGGAGGAGUCACUUAAGUCAAACACUCUGGGAGUUCGGGUGGAUGUGGCCGGCCCACUGGUACUGUCCUCAAUGCCACACUUACUGAGCUACGUCCAGUAAUGACCAAGUCAGCACCAAGUUUGCCCUCCCUGGAGCUCUCAGCCCAAGAUGAUCAGGGCCAGGAUUGGGGAGGCAGAGGCAGAGGGGUCAGGGCCAGGAUGAGGGAGCAUGAGUGGCUGAGGGGACUCAGAUAAGGCAACAGGCCCAACCUGAAACAUCAGGAGUGUUCUUAGGAAAGAACUGGAGGAAUAAGUAAACAUGAGCCAAGGGAAGAAAGAGAACGGGAAGCGUAUAAAGACGUGCUGAUUCUCAGGUCCCUCCCAGACCUAUGGAAUCAGAGUCUACGUUUUUAAGAUGCUCAGGUACUUCCUUUGCAUGGCUGAUUCAAGAAGUCCUGUUCUACAUCACAAAUUUGGCACUGUUUGUUUGUCUUUUUAGGGCCGAACCCGCGGCCUAUGGAGGUUCCCAGGCGAGGGGUCAAAUUGGACAUGUAGCUGCUGGCCUACACCACAGCCAUAGCAAUGCCAGGUCCUUAACCCACUGAAUGAGGCCAGGGAUCGAACCUGCGUCCUCAUGGAUGCUAGUCAGAUUCAUUUCCGCUGAGCCACAAUGGGAACUCCGGCUCUGUUCUUUUUUUUGUGUGUGUGUGUCUUUUUCUAGGGCCGCACCUGUGGCAUAUGGAGGUUCCCAGAAAAGGGAGAAAGACAAAAAAUAAAAAUAAAAAAAAGUCAAAAUGAGUUCCUGUUGUGGCGCAGCAGAAACAGAUCCAACUAGGAACCAUGAGGUUUCAGGUUUGAUCCCUGGCCUUACUCAGUGAGUUAAGGAACCGGCGUUGCUGUGAGCUGUGGUGUAGGCCAGAGGCUACAGCUCGGAUUAGACCCUUAGCCUGAGGACCUCCAUAUUAUGUGAGUGUGGCCCUAAAAAGCAAAAAAAAAAAAGACAAAAAAAAAAAAAAAAAAAGUCAAAUGACUGGGACAGAAAUUUUUCCAAGGAAGAUAUACAAACAGCCAAAAAGCACAUGCGAAUUUGCUCAACAUCACUGAUCAUUGGGAAAUGCAAAUUAAAAACGAGAUACCACUUCACAACCACUAGGAAGUGGUUAUAAUCCACUUCCAAAUAUAGUCCAAAAAAUGGAAAAUAGCAAGUGUGGACAAGGUUGUGAGACACUGGAGUCCUGACACGUUGCUGAUGGAGCUGUGAAACGGUGCAGCCACUGUGAGAAACAGUCUGGCAGUUUCUCAGAAAGUUAAACAUGGAGUUAUCACAUGACCCAGCCAUUCCACUCCUAGGUAUGCACCCAAGAGAAAUGAAAACAUGGGUCCACACAAAGACUUAUACACGAACAUUCAUAACAGCAUUGUUCAAGAUGGCCAAAGCAUGGAAAUAAUACAAAUGUCCAACAUCCAAUGAAUGAAUAUGCAACAUAGCGUGUAUCUGUACAAUUGUACAUUAUUCAGCCAUAAACAGGAAUGAAGCACUGAUAUAUGCUACAUCAUGGAUGAACCUUGAAAAUAUUAGGCUACAUGAAAGAAGCCAGAGACAAGGCCCAGCCUCCACUUUUCAUUCAUUCCACAAACCUUUACUGGCUGCUUCCUGUGUGCUUGGGACCAUUCAAUUACUGAGGAUUCUUGGCAGUUCUGGUCAAGGCUCAGCGGAAAUGAACCCGAUUAGUAUCCAUGAGGAUUCGGGUUCCAUCCUUGGCCUUGCUCAGUGGGGUAAGGAUCCAGCAUUGCCGUCUGUAGGUUGCAGAUGCGGCUUCGAUCCUGUGUGGCUGUGGCCGGGGCGUAGGCUGGCAGCUGUAGCUCUGAUUCGACCCUGAGCCUGGGAACUUCCAUAUGCUGCACCUGUGGCCCUGAAAAAAAAAAAAGCAAAAACAAAAAUCAAGUACUGGGGAUUCAGGGAAAACAAAAACAAGACAAGCAAAAGACAGUAAUCAUAGUAGCUAACCCUCACCACACAGGAACUGCACAGGGACGGGGCAGUAUAUUCGACCCUCAGGAGGUUAUCAGCUUCUAGAUCAGUAUAAUGAACUUCACCAAAGGCUGCAGUCAAGGUCAGUCAGUAGGGGUGGGACUCUAAUCAGGCCUCUGACCUGCACCAAUUUCUCCCUCUCCUUGCCCUUCCCAAGGAAUAUGGCAUUGAUCCCAGAGCCAGGCCAGUGUAGACGGGGAGGUUCCAUCCUUACCACAGGGCCAGCCCUUCCCCCGGGCUCAAUCCCAUCUCAGUUCCCUCCCC
rnacentral:lncRNA from 1 species